GAAUCUAGACCCUUCUGCCUCCGGAGACUGAACACUUCUCCUGGGAGGCUGUCUUUAUUUUUCCCCUUUAGAACUUCUGUUGCAAAUCUCUCUGUCUUAUUCUGUCUGUCUGUCUGUGACAUUUGUUUCUGCCUCUCUCAAUGUGUCUCUGAGUCUUUCUGGCUCUCAGUGUCUCUCACACACACCCCCCCCCCCAAGAUCCCCUCACCACAUGCACAGACACACAAACACACAUACAAGUGCAUCAAAUUUAUCCGCACUGCAUACACACAGACACACCACACCCAUACAUAUCUCACACUCUUCACACUCAGGCACUACACUCACACACACAUAUGCACCAUGCAGAUACAUACAAAACACACAGACUCACACCCACAUUCGCACAGACACACUUACCACUCACACAAAUACAUUCACACCACCUAUACAUACCCACAAACACAACAUACUCACACCACACACACACAGACACCCCUUCUAGGCACAUAUACCAUACACUCCAUCCAUACACACUCCAAACACACACACACACUGCCCUGGCCAGCAGUCUGGCUGGCACACUUGUUCUCUAUGUUUUUAUAACUCUGAUUUGCAGGUCGACUCUGAUAAAGUAAAAUAGAUGAUAACUAAAAUUUCUACUAAACGUUCUGUAUUUGAAAUCUUCAUGGUAUGACUCUCUGAUCAAACCUUUUAAAACUCUGUAAGUGCUAUUGGUCAGCUUUUGAGACUGGUUUGCAUUUUGGAAAAAUUCUCUUAAAUCUUAACAUUAUAGUUAUUUUUUUUCUCUCAGAACCAGAAGAGCAGGGUCCUAGGUCCAGCUCUGGCACUAAUCGGCUUGGAAGGUCUCACCCUCUCUCUCCCUGGGACUCAGUUUUGCAAUCUGUACGAUGGGAGAACUGCAUCCCCCUUUGUCCUCCCCAGGCCUCCUCUCCCUUACCCUGGACCUUCACUGAACACAGUCUGAAAAUCAGGAGAUUGACAAACCCCCCAAAUUCCUUCUGGCUCUGCAAUUCUGCAAUGUUAUGAUUUUAUGUAAAAUUAAUAAUAAUAAUGGUAACAAUAACAUUAUUGACUAUGGAAAAUCUGAUGCGAAAAGAAACAGUCAUCACACAUAAGCCAAAACCGAGAUAAAUGACAUCUUGGGUAUCCAUUUUUGUAUUAUCCGUGCUAAAUCGCCUCUCGGUGGACAUGGGUAAUUAGGGGUUUCAUGAUGUGGUUUGGUCCGCCAUCAGUAAUUUGUACUUUUGCCUCCACAAAUGCAACCAUGGAAAGAUCCCAGAUCCAAGUCAUCUGACUCCACAUCUUAGACAGGAAUUAAUGGCUGAGCAUUGAGAGUCCCUAUUACAAAAUGCCAUUAUAUUUUGUAUGUAAAAUAUUUGUUGGCAGAACACCAUUGCUGGAGCCUUCCAGAGUCCAUCAUCAAUAGCUAACUUAAUACAUUUGGGGAUGCCACACCUGGGUUAGUCUCUUCCUGGUUUCAUUAUGCACCAUUUCAUCUUCCGUAUUCGACUAGUUGCGCUCGCAUCUGGCUUGAGAAGGUCAAACAGUUCUGUGGAAUCUUGUAUAAAUAAACAGAUUUUUAUGGGCUAGAUUUUGGGUAGC
rnacentral:lncRNA from 1 species